rnacentral:tRNA from 1 species
UGAGGCGUCGCCAAGUGGUAAGGCAGCGGGUUUUGAUCCCGCCAUUCAGAGGUUCGAAUCCUUUCGCCUCAG